rnacentral:rRNA from 1 species
AUACGUAGGGUGCGAGCGUUGUCCGGAAUUACUGGGCGUAAAGAGCUCGUAGGUGGUUUGUCGCGUCGUCUGUGAAAUUCCGGGGCUUAACUCCGGGCGUGCAGGCGAUCCGGGCAUAACUUGAGUACUGUAGGGGAGACUGGAAUUCCUGGGGUAGCGGUGAAAUGCGCAGAUAUCAGGAGGAACACCGGUGGCGAAGGCGGGUCUCUGGGCAGUAACUGACGCUGAGGAGCGAAAGCAUGGGUAGCGAACAGGAUUAGAUACCCUGGUAGUCCAUGCCGUAAACGGUGGGCGCUAGGUGUAGGGGUCUUCCACGACUUCUGUGCCGUAGCUAACGCAUUAAGCGCCCCGCCUGGGGAGUACGGCCGCAAGGCUAAAACUCAAAUGAAUUGACGGGG